GAAAUAGAACUUGAAACCCUAUGUUUACAAGCAGAUAGAGAGCGUUAAGGCUCGAUAUCGUACUUUUUGUAGAACGGUCCAGCGAGUUAUGUGUAUGAUGCGAGGUUAAAUACUAAGUGAGGUAUGGAGCCGAAGGGAAACCGAGUUUGAAAAGAGCGAAAGAAAGAGUAUCAUGCAAUAGACCCGAAACCGUGUGACCUAUCCAUGAGCAGGUUGAAACUUGAGUAAAAUCAAGCGGAGGACCGAACCGGUAUUCGUUGAAAAGGAUUCGGAUGACUUGUGGAUAGAGGAGAAAUUCCAAUCGAACACGGAGAUAGCUGGUUCUCCUCGAAAUAGCUUUAGGGCUAGCCUUGUUUAGUAGCAUGUGGAGGUAAAGCACUGAAUGUGUGAGGGGUCAUACCAGAUUACCAAACACUAUCAAACUAAGAAUGCCAUGUGUGUAAGAACAGGAGUCAGACAGUGACAGCUAAGUGCCAUUGUCAAAAGGGAAAGAGCCCAGACCAACAGCUAAGGUCCCAAAAUUAUAGUUAAGUGGAAAAGGAUGUGGGAAUUCAUAGACAACCAGGAUGUUGGCUUAGAAGCAGCCAUGCAUUUAAAGAGUGCGUAAUAGCUCACUGGUCGAAGUAGUCCUGCGCCGAAAAUUACCGGGGCUAAACUAUAUACCGAAGCUUUGGAUUUGUAUACAGAAGUAUAUGAGUGGUAGAGGAGCGUUGUGUACGGGAAGAAGUCAUACCGAGAGGAGUGGUGGACUGUACACAAGAGAGAAUGCUGGAAUAAGUAGCGAGAGCACAGUGAGAAUCUGUGCCACCGAAAACCUAAGGUUUCCUGGGGAAGGUUCGUCCGCCCAGGGUAAGUCGGGGCCUAAGAUGAGGCUGAGAAGCGUAGUCGAUGGGAAGCAGGUAAAAGAUUCCUGCACUACAAAUACGUGAUGAAGAGUUAAUGACGCAUGCUAAGAAGAUAAGCGAGCAAAUGGAAAAGUUCGUAUCGAAAGAUGGAGUGAAAGAAAGUAGCGAAGUAUCAGGAGAGUGUGACAAGAAAAGUUAACGUGGAGCGUAGGAGUACUCGUACCGUAAACCGACACAGGUAGGAAGAAAGAGAAUUUUCAGGUGAGCGAGAUAAAUAUUGUUAAGGAACUCGGCAAAUUAACCCCGUAACUUAGGGAUAAGGGGAGCCAACGAGAGUUGGUCGCAGUGAAAAGGCCCAAGCAACUGUUUAACAAAAACAUAGGUUUCUGCGAAAUCGAAAGAUGAAGUAUAGGAGCUGACGCCUGCCCAGUGCUGGAAGGUCAAGUGGAAAAGUAAGUGUGAAAAUGCGAAGCUUUGAAAUUAAGCCCCAGUGAACGGCGGCCGUAACUAUAACGGUCCUAAGGUAGCGAAAUUCCUUGUCAGGUAAGUUCUGACCCGCACGAAAGGCGUAAUGAUUUGGGCACUGUCUCAACAAUAUUCUCGGCGAAAUUGUAGUACUAGUGAAGAUGCUAGUUACCUGUGAUAAGACAGAAAGACCCCAUGGAGCUUUACUGUAGCUUGAUAUUGAGACUAGGUAGAGGAUGUACAGGAUAGGUGGGAGACGAAGAGACAUGCACGCAAGUGUAUGAGGAGUCAACGUUGGGAUACCACCCUUGCAACUAUUGGAAUUCUAACUAAUCGCCGUAAGCCGGAGAUAGGACAGUGUCAGGUGGGCAGUUUGACUGGGGCGGUCGCCUCCUAAAGAGUAACGGAGGCGUUCAAAGGUCAGCUUAGCACGGUCAGAAAUCGUGUGGAAAGUAUAAAGGUAGAAGCUGGCUUGAAUGUAAGAGUGACAACUCGAGCAAACGCGAAAGCGGGACUUAGUGACCCGAUGGUAGUGAGUGGAAAUGCCAGAGCUCAACGGAUAAAAGUUACCCUGGGGAUAACAGGCUUAUCU
rnacentral:rRNA from 1 species